GCACCCGUGGUGAAAUGGAUAUCACAGCGGUCUUCGGAACCGUCGUUGGGGGUUCGAGUCCCUCCGGGUGCA
rnacentral:tRNA from 1 species